rnacentral:lncRNA from 1 species
AGGAAACAGAUCCAACGCAGGGGACCUGACGAUGGUGAUAGGAGCACUGUAUGCGGCAGUUAUCUUUGUUGGGAUAAACAAUUGCUCGACGGUACAGCCGAUGGUGGCAGUGGAGAGGACUGUGUUCUACAGGGAAAGGGCUGCAGGAAUGUACUCAGCCAUGCCAUACGCCAUCUCCCAGGUCACCUGUGAGCUGCCUUAUGUCCUGGUGCAGACCACUUACUACUCACUCAUCGUUUAUGCCAUGGUUGGGUUCGAGUGGAAAGCCGCCAAGUUCUUCUGGUUCCUCUUUGUCAGCUACUUCUCUUUCCUCUACUGGACCUACUACGGCAUGAUGACCGUCUCCCUCACACCGAACCAGCAAGUCGCUUCUAUCUUCGCCUCUGCUUUUUACGGCAUUUUCAACCUCUUCUCGGGCUUCUUCAUCCCAAGACCCAAAAUCCCCAAGUGGUGGAUCUGGUACUACUGGAUCUGCCCCGUCGCAUGGACCGUCUAUGGUUUGAUCGUCUCACAGUACGGAGACGUCGAGACACCUAUCACCGUCCUCGGAGGUCCUCCAGGCCUCACCGUCAAGCAAUACAUUGACGACACUUAUGGCUUCCAGUCUGACUUUAUGGGACCUGUCGCUGCAGUCCUUGUCGGCUUCACCGUCUUCUUCGCCUUCAUCUUCGCCUUCUGCAUCAGAACUCUCAACUUCCAGACCAGAUAAACCUAUGUGAUGAUAUACAAUAUGUGCAUAACACAUGCUGCUCUCUGUUCUUCUACCAUGUAUUCUAGAGCCAAAUAUGAUUUUUAAUUUUUUUUUUAAUUAUUAAUUAUUAUAGUCGUGUAGAUGAUGACGAAACAGAUGUAAUAUAACUCCCACCUUUUUUUUUGUUUGUUGAUUUGAGAACGCAACUUUUUGUAUUUUUUUUUUUGGUGUUGAAGGAAGGAAGGUUGUUCCAAAUCCCAAUUUAUUUGGAGCUUACCAUAAAAAAAUAAAUUCAAGAACAGAACUGAAACUUAAUGACUUUGUGCUUAAAAGCAGGUCAAAGAGAAGGAUUUGGUUUCUCGGCCGGUUUUUGAUAUGUGGUGAGAUCAGGCGAGACUAUCUUCUUAGCAAAAUGUCAGAGAAGACUAUGUUGGUAGUGUGUCGUAAAAAAAAAAAAAAAAGAGACUAUGUUCGUAGUGUGAAACGAGGCUUAUCCAAGUGCUCCUCCACGUAUUCUUGUGCACAAACCUACAGUAAAAUUCAUUCUGAGAUGGUGGUUUUAUUGGGUUUUUCGUUUUCCGGACCCAGAGAACCGUGGUGGGUCUCAAGAUAUUUUGGAGCCCAACUGACGUGGAUUCUCUUAAAUAUGGGCAUCGUGUCAUCGCGUGUGACACAAAAGGAGUCCAUUCAGUACACAAGUUGGACGAGACUUUUCUUUUAUUUUCUCUAACUUUAAAGAAAAUAAUAAAUGUCAAGUAGAAGAGUAGAAGGGGGAAAUUCCAAACCAACUACAUCUACAUUGACGGUAGUUGCAAAUUCGCUUAAAAACAUUUGUGCUGUGCGUCUCUUAUUGCUAUCUAAUCCUUUUUGCUAUUUUGGUCAAGACAAUUCCAAUUGAAAAGAAAUGACAAGAAAAGGGGCCACAGUCCAGAAAAAGUGGUUCUUAUUUGUUUUAUUUUGAAUUUUGAGGGCACAAAUUACAAUAGCGCACCAAUAUAGGGACCGCUGGUCAAUGGGAAUAGGUGAAAAAAGAAGGAGUGGAAACGCAAUUGAAGAAGAGAUAGAAGAGGAAGGAAGACACGUCCAUUGGAGGUCCUCUGCCAUUUGCGAAGCUCUCAGAUUUAGAGCGACAUUGUGAUAGAACCGAGGAAUCCCAUACGGAGAGGGGAAGAGAGGAAGAGAGAGCGAGACGAUCACAUCACAUCACAUAACAUAACCAAGACUCUCUCUCCAUCUCCGUCGCAAUGAUCUCUCUCAGUGCCUCCUCGUUUCUGGUAAUUCACAUCUUCUUUGUUUUCUCCAUUCUUCUACAUCAAUGUCUAUUUCACAUCAUCUUUAGUUUGCCCUGCUUCGCUUCUCACAGAACAAGCCGGGUUCCACCCACUUCUCUCUGCGCCAGCCUAGAACUAGAAUCUCCUCUCCUCCUGCUUUCUUCAGAGUCUUUUCCGCUCUCGGAUCUAACCGGGAUCCUAACGGCAGCGUUUUGAUUGAGACCACUGCCUCCUCCUCCUCCUCCCUCGAGACCUCCGCCGCCGCCGAUAUUGUUCCCAAAUCAACCGUGUCUGGUGGAGUUCAGGAUGUGUACGGCGAGGACGCUGCCACCGAGGACAUGCCCAUCACUCCUUGGUCUCUUUCUGUCGCCAGGUACAUCUCAAUUCCAUUUUUCAGAUUCCAAUUGUUUUUUUUUUUGUUUUUUUUGUUUUUUGUUUAGGUUGUAUGUGUCAUCAUCAUCAAAAAUAAAAGAGAAUAUGAAUGUGGUGCAGUGGGUAUACGUUGUUGCGCGAUCCACAUCACAACAAAGGGCUUGCCUUCAGCCACAGGGAGCGCGACGCUCACUAUCUACGCGGCCUCCUCCCCCCUACUGUUAUCUCCCAAGAUCUUCAGGUUAAGAAAAUGAUGCAUACUCUUCGUCAGUAUCAAGUUCCCUUGCAGAGGUAUAUGGCUAUGAUGGAUCUCCAGGUAUAUUUCUUCAACCAACAACAACUGCCUUUCUUUCCAAACCUCAAUUCAUAUUCAUAACACGCUUUUCUAUCUCAGGAGACCAACGAGAGGCUGUUUUACAAGCUUCUCAUCGAUCAUGUCGAAGAGUUGCUUCCAGUUGUCUAUACUCCAACCGUUGGGGAAGCCUGCCAGAAGUAUGGUAGCAUUUUCCUGCGUCCACAAGGGCUUUUUAUCAGCUUGAAAGAAAAGUGAGUUCUUUUCAGUUUAAGGAAAUCAACUGCCUCUUUUACUAUUCUUUCUUCUUUUUGUAACAGAGUAUACACUUUUUUCCUUCUUCUUAAUAGAGGCAAGAUUCUUGAGGUGCUGAGGAACUGGCCUGAGAAGAACAUCCAGGUCAUUGUUGUCACCGAUGGGGAGCGCAUUUUAGGUUUAGGGGAUCUUGGAUGUCAGGCAAGUUGUCUGAGUCUUUCAUGCGAGUGCUGUCGUGUCUUUGGUUUCUCUUCUUACUAACCGACACAUUACUUGCUAUCAUUAAUGUCUUCAGGGAAUGGGAAUUCCGGUUGGGAAACUUUCUCUGUAUACAGCCCUUGGAGGUGUCCGGCCUUCCGCCGUAAGUAUAGUUUUGGGGGAAAUCAGCUUUAUUGCAUUCAACCACAUUCUCUCAUCUCUCUACUAUGUAUAUUGCUCGCCAGUGCCUGCCCGUAACAAUUGAUGUUGGGACAAACAAUGAAAAGCUAUUGAACGAUGAGUUCUACAUAGGACUCCGCCAAAGGAGAGCUACAGGAGAGGUAAUUAGCAUCUUUCAGUAAAACGGUCCUGCGAAAAGUAGGAUGAAACUGAAACCUUAAUCCUCUUCUUUGUACAGGAAUACUCCGAACUUAUGCAUGAAUUCAUGACAGCAGUCAAGCAGAACUAUGGGGAGAAAGUCGUUAUUCAGGUUAGCUUAACACAUGGAUAAGUGUACAUCACCAACACGAGUCCACUGUUUCGAUCUUCUCAAGUUUCCUAUCCUUACAUACAUUUCUUCCUUUGCAGUUUGAAGACUUUGCCAACCAUAAUGCUUUUGACCUGUUAGCUAAGUAUGGUACAACACAUCUUGUUUUCAAUGACGAUAUUCAGGUAUAUCCUGAUACACGAGGUAAUUCCGGCUUGGAGUACAGAUUUACCAUGUUCUGAAACUGUGAUUUCAUAUAUAGGGCACAGCAUCAGUUGUGCUUGCGGGACUUAUCGCUGCUCUUAGAUUUGUUGGCGGAUCCUUGUCAAGCCACAGGUUCCUCUUCCUCGGCGCCGGAGAGGUAAGGGUUGGGUUUUUCUUUUCAGUAAAAGCCAUUCCGUCGAUCUGUUACAUAGUUUUACUCCCAUUUCUUUGAGAUGCAGGCUGGCACUGGAAUAGCUGAACUAAUUGCUCUUGAGAUAUCAAAGAAGGUAAGCUAUAAGCUUAUGUGCAUUUGCUUUGUCAAGCUACCUGUUUUCUUAUAUGAAAUAUAUGCUGGUGACUGUAGUCCCAAAUUCCAUUGGAAGAGGCUCGGAAGAACAUUUGGCUUGUGGAUUCGAAGGUAAUCUAUGAGAUGUGGAUUCGUCUCUCUUUUACACGUAUUUAAGUCUAAUCACACGUAUUCAUGUAUGUAGGGAUUGAUUGUCAGCUCCCGGAAAGAAUCCAUUCAACAUUUCAAAAAGCCCUGGGCUCAUGACCAUGAACCGAUAAAGGAACUUGUUGAUGCCGUCAAGGUGUGUUGGUCAUUGUUCUGCUGCAGAAGAUCAUAUCACUGAGGAAGAGGCUUUGUUUUUUUUUUGUAUCUUAGCGUUAACGGUAAAUCCUUUUUCUUUUCAUUCAGGCAAUCAAGCCGACAGUUCUAAUUGGAACAUCAGGAGUAGGUAAAACAUUCACUCAAGAUGUGGUGGAAACCAUGGCAGAGCUAAAUGAGGUAUAUUGUUUCCGCAUAAAAACUUGCAUGAAAAAGAAAGAAGUUUUUGCAUAUGCAUUUUUGUCUGUUGUCCUGACCAUAAAGUCAAAAUAUGUGGUGUAUACAGAAACCCAUCAUUCUUUCACUUUCAAACCCAACUUCUCAGUCAGAGUGUACGGCAGAAGAGGCCUAUACGUGGAGUCAGGUAGAGGAGUUGUUAAGAUUGUUAUUUAUCAUGAUCCAGAGAGAAGUGGGUUGGGUUACAAGGUCAAUCUUUUGAUUCACAGGGACGGGCGAUCUUUGCAAGUGGAAGCCCAUUUGCGCCAGUAGAGUAUGAGGGAAAGACGUUUGUGCCUGGACAGGUUGUGACGAAAGCUAUAGAAAUAGGAUUUGACAACUGAUAUAAAGAGAGUUGAAUUCUGACGUUUGUGUGGACAGGCGAACAAUGCAUACAUCUUCCCUGGGUUUGGACUGGGGCUUAUAAUGUCAGGGACCAUUCGGGUUCAUGAUGACAUGCUUCUGGCCGCAUCAGAAGCUUUGGCUGAGCAACUGAUGGAGGAGCACUAUGAGAAGGGGAUGAUAUUCCCUCCCUUCAGGAAUAUCCGAAAAAUAUCAGCUCGUAUUGCAGCCAAGGUUGCUGCCAAGGCCUAUGAACUGGGUAAGUACCCUCCCCUAGUGUGUGUUUGAAAUGUGAAUUACAACAACAUUAUUGAUAUAAUAGUAAUAGUAAUAAUAAUAAUGUGUGUUUGAAUUGUGAAUUACAUACAACAUUUACAAAAUUAUAGGAUUGGCCACGAGGUUGCCUCAGCCCAAGGAGCUGGAGCAGUGUGCUGAGAGCAGCAUGUACAGCCCUUCCUAUCGUAGCUACCGCUGAGGAUAAGCUUACUUACACACACUCUCCUUUCUCAUAUGACUUUGACCUCCCUUUCUCUCCUCUCCUAUUCUUUCACUUUCCUUGUUUCAAGAGUUUUUUUCAGCAUCUUAUAAAAAAAAUUAUGCGUGUAGCCACUGUUUCUCUCGUUUUUUCUUGUUUUCUUCCAUAUCCCUAAUAAUCUACGACUCCAGGCUCUCGUUCGUACUUCGUAGUGUAUGUUUAGUGUGUUUGUAUGUGCAACUGAUUGCAUCUGAUGGCUUUUCUUUUAGGAAAUGAAAUAUUUACGAUCAUUUUUAUAACAAAAAAAAGAUAAUUUUUACUGAUUAUUUGUCUUUGUUGUUUUUUUCUACUUUCUUUAGUUUCUACUUAUGUGGCCAUGUAAAUUAAGGAACAAAAAUCAGGGCAAGAGUUAAACCAGCUUGGAGAAUUCAUGUGGCUUUAUAGGUUUUGGAGAUUAGAAUGUUAAUAUAUAGUUUAUAUAUAUAAAAUGAAAAAACAAAUCAAACAAAUAAAAUAUAGUACUAUAAAACUGAAUUAAAGAGAGUGUUAAGUUGAUCGAAAAAAAAAAAAAAGGUGUUAAGCAACUUCAACCAAAAAAAAAGAAAAAAAAAAAGUGAAUGACACAAUGUCAGAACUAGAGAAGAGAUGGACAACGAGAAAGAAAAAAAAAAAGAGAAACGCAGAGGGCAAAAUAUCGCGAAAAAUUAUCAGAAGUUCGUUCCGGCGAGAAGAAUCGAAUCUCUCCCGUACAGUUCUGUGUAAGCACUAUCUCUCCCAAUUUCUCAUACUCGUCCCAAAUUUGAAUGAAAUACUCUUUUAAGCUGCUUGGGUUGUUUCUCUCCCGGAAGCGAAGAAGCAAUCAUGUCGAUUUUCAUCUUCCGGCUGGGAAAAUUUGAAAUGCUUACAUAUCUAGAUUUUACAGUGGUUCGUUGCUUUUAUUGGUUAACGACGGCAUUGCAACCUCACCGAGGGAUAGUUUUUGUUGGGCAGGUGAAAGCUGACGAAGAACAAUCCCAAGUAAGUCAGUAGCUCCUGAGAUUGAAAUUGAGAUUGAGAUUGAGAAUGAGAGAUUUGCAUAUAAAUAAUCAACGGAAAAUUGUUGCAAAUGAGUGGCAGUGGUACGAGAAAAGGACAAAUGCUGGGAAUACGCGGAGAAAAUGGAUGGGAACAAGGUGAGAUGCAAGUUUUGCUCAAGAGUACUGAAUGGCGGCAUCAGCAGGUUGAAGCACCAUCUCUCUCGGCUCCCGAGCAAAGGUGUGAAUCCAUGUGCCAAGGUAAGGGACGAUGUCACCGAUAGAGUCCGAUCCAUAUUAUCCGCCAAGGACGAUUCCCCACUCACCACCAAGGAUACUAAACCUUUAGCAUCAUCUGCUGCUCCUCCUCCUCCUCCUCUUCCCUUAGACGCAGUUUCUUCUGCUUCCCGACUGUUUCCUAGUAUCCUUGUACCCAAUGCUCAGGAGAUUGCUGAGAGGAGCAUUUCUCUUUUCUUCUUCGACAACAAGAUUGACUUUGGCGCUGCCCGCUCUUCCUCUUUUCACCACAUGCUCGAUGCCAUUGCCAACUGUGGUCCUGGAUUCGUUGCUCCUUGUGCUCUCUCUCUCAAGACCCUUUGGCUUGACAGGGUUAAAUCUGAAAUCGGUUCACAGCUCAAAGAGGUUGAAAAGGAGUGGGCCACCACUGGCUGUACCGUCG